GUCCCCGUAGCACAGUGGUAGUGCGCCUGACUACGACUAGAUCUAUUUUAUCGGCAUCAGGAGGUCGUGCGUUCGAACCGCAUCUGGGAUU
rfam:Kwoniella mangroviensis CBS 10435 unplaced genomic scaffold supercont2.3, whole genome shotgun sequence.